GAAAGAGGCCCGCAGCAAAAAGGAUUGCUAAUCCUUUACCCCGCAGUUAAACUCCGCGGCUCAUUCA
rnacentral:tRNA from 1 species